AUGCUGGCUUCGGCAGCAUAUAUACUAAAAGUGGAAUGAUACAGAGAAGCUUAGUAUGCCCCCUGUGCAAGGAUGACAUGCAAAUUCAUGGAACAGUUCAUAUUUUA
rnacentral:snRNA from 1 species